GAUAGGCCUGCACAGGCGCCAGCUGUACUGUGCACAAUAGCUCCUUCCUCUGCUUCUCCUUGGCCUGCGUCUUGUUGGCAUUGGCCAGUGAUGCUUGAGCGAGGCUCAGGCUCAGAGCAAUUAAGCUGAAUUGGUUGUUGUUACUUGGGUUCCCACAAGGAUGACACACCUCGCCAUUCUAAUCGCGCAGCAGAUGUUUGUCAGGUCCCCUCAUUGUUCAGAUGGUCUGAGUUGCCCCUCAGGGGUGAGAGAGCUGGGUGUGUGUAUGUGGCGAGAGGGAUUGGUUACUGAAGGGGACUCAUAUGGAAAGGGGAUCUGCUGGGGAGGAAGGUCCCAUCCUUCAAGUCUGUAAAUGUGUGUUAAGUACACGUCUGCAACUUCAGUUUCAGCAGUCAAGACAAGACAAGUCUUCCUCUCCCUAAUACAUACACUUGUUCAUUUUCCUUCACUCACUAUCUGCAUCUCACUCACUCACUCACACACACACACACACACACACACACACACACACUAACACACGCACACACACAAGCACAGAUGACUUUCUGGGAGGAUAGAAGAGGAGUUGGAGAGGGGUGGUCUGAGCAUCAGUAAGACACUGUCCUUUUAGACAGUGGGCUCUCUUUUAAGCCAUCAGCCUCAUUUCCUCCAGCACCUGGGCUGCUUUGGACCUCCUCCAUGUCAUCCUUGACCUCCGGUAAACCCCCAGUUCCCAGCCACAGGAACACUGUCUGGCGUUAAGGAUGAAUUCACAUAAAAGGCUGUCUUUCUUUUCAGAGGUGAAGAGAGAAUCAUUUGUGGUUCUAUACACACAGCGGCCUCUGGUUUAAUUAGCCUUCAUUUAAACAUGACUAUAUUAAGCUAUGGGGUGUACAUGACAACUGGGUAACAGCUGCACAACAUCCUUGGGUGGCUGGCAUAUGGUUUUUACUCCAUCCUGCAUGUUUUUAUUGUGUAAAUACUAUAGAAGGUGAAAUAAGAAACAAAAUUACGCUAAUCUUGUAAUUGUCCUACUGUAUUUUGUGAAAUAACUCCUAGACCUAUUUGUUUUCUCUGCAUGGUUUCAUUUUAGCAAGUAGACCAUGCCUGUCAGUUAUGUGUGCAGCCAUGAAUAAACAAAC